rnacentral:sRNA from 1 species
CUCUUUCUCUCUUCAACGGAUCUGUGCCCGGCGAUCCUCUGCCGCCCCGGCGGUUAGGGUCGAUUGCUGAGGCAGUUCGGUGAGCAAAGGAGCCAUCUACCCUCCAUGAUGUCAAUGUCCAGCCGACAGAUCCAAGAUCGAUAGAACUCCGAGGAUCCUCGUUCGCCGUAAAAGGCUUGAGCGAGGUGAACCGGAAGUUCAAGACGCUAUAUUCCAGACCGUUCGCCGAGACCGUCGGUCUCUGAGGCUGGGGAAAACCAUGGCUGGUCCUACAUUU